UGCAUCGGCCGGGAAUCGAACCCGGGCCGCCCGCAUGGCAGGCGAGAAUUCUACCAGUGAACCACACUGAUGC